UAGUAGAUAAUCAGUGAUUUCAGGUUUAGCUUCUCUGUUUUCAGUAAAGAUGCAGACUUUGUGUUCGAUGAAAUGCCCCAUAGAGUUUUGUAUAUAUAGGUUUUAUUCGUGCUUGGUUGGUGUACACAAAGUGUAAUUUCCGUGUCGAAAAGUACAGAUAUUUGAUCCCAAAUGAGUUGAUCCAUGCAUAUGUAAAAGUAACAGCUUGAUUUUACUUGGGAUUUCAUAUUUUUUGGAAAAUGUCCAUUCAGUGUUAGUUCAAAUUCAAAAUGUUGAUUCAGUGUUAGUUCAUUACUGUUACCGAAUCUGGAAUUUCGAUUUCGGUCCAAAGAUGAAGUGGUAUUUCUUCACCCGUCCCAAUUUUCCAAGCUGAAUAAAGAGGCAGUCCAUUUCUCACCCUCAUCUGAUGGCAGUACUGUGAUGCGCUCAGCUAAUGGCAACUCAGUUUUUUGGAAUGGGGAUCAUAAGUUGGGGAUUUCAACGCAAUUUUUUUUCCCGUUAUAUGAAGCUUCUAAGCAUGCGUUUAUGGCAGCAAGUAGACAAUAGAAGGCACUUAACAGCAGAUCAGAUGUAUCUGGGGAUGAGAAGUCUUUGUAUGUGUCAUUAUCUUUGGAUAAUAGUUUUGAAAGUGACGUCAUGAAGCAUAGCAGGGCGCUUUUGUUGCUAAGUAGUGAUUUCGGCACUGCAUGGCAUUCCAGGUUUUCCCCCUUUUCAUUUUCGGUUCAGUAGUGCUUUUUCCUCUCUCUUACACUUGUUCUAACAUAAUUGUUUUAAAAUAGUAGCAGAUAUGCAUGUGAAGCAACGGUCCUUUGUAGCGUCAUGUUCUUUGGUUUCCUGACAUGGAGAUUCAUCUAUCUUCCUCUAGAGUUUUUGAUGUGCAAUUAUUUACUAUAAUUAUAUAUCAAUAAUUUUGGAUCUUCUUGAUCUUGUCUGCUUUUCAAUUUAUGUCAUGACACCUACUUGGUCUAGUAUAUGUGAUGCAGGAAGCUUGUUGUGUCGCAGAAGCAUAAGCACUCAGCAUUUUUGGAUGAACUUCUCUUGUCAGCACUUGUUCUUUCAUAUUCACCUAAGUUUGAGUAUGCUUGGAGCCAUAGGCAGUGGGUCAUCAAGUCGAUUGCUGGAAAGUGUUCAACUCUGUCGGAGAUUGUGACCAAAGACUCUGAGCUGGUGGAGAAAAUAGCUGAGGUUUAAAUUCAGUUCAGGAACUGCAUGCUUUUAAUUUACAAAGAGGUCAAAAAUGAAUUACCGUGCAUGGAACCACCGUUGCUGGUUGGUUUCCUACAUGACAAGAGAACAGUUGCUACAUGAAUUAGAAAGAUCCCGAACCUGGGCCUCCUUGCAUGUUGCUGAUCAUAGUUGCUCCCAUUAUCGCAGUCGGCUGAUGCGUAAGAUUUAGAGGACGAAUGCUAUAAACAAGAGAUUUCAGCUUCUGGUUACAGUGUUGAGAUAUAUCGGCUGUGGAAGGAAGAGCUUGAUUGGGAUGAAAUGUUGAUAAAGCACUACAUAGGAAGAGAGGCUCUAUGGCUUCAUCGCCGCUUCCUUUCUUAUUUUGGAUAAAGCAUUUCAUAACUGAUCAUACUGGUCUGUCCAGCCAUGCGAAGCAGAAUAACAGCAUGAAUGACGACUUCAGAAUCUUUAUGAAUAACGAGUUACAGCUCCUCGACUCCUGCUCCAUCAUUCCAGAUAAUAGCUUCGAUGACUACCAAGCACAGGCUAAACAUUCGGCUACUUACAUAUUAUGGUUGAUUAUGCAAAUCCCUGAUUCCCGACGCAUUGAAUUUCAAGAUAAGCUGAAAACUGAAAACCUGAAAGCUCUGUUGAAUAAAGCGUGCCUGGAAAGGUCCUCAACAUGGGAUUCUUUAGUGAGCUAUUUGUCCUGCAACUUUUCCUUUCAGUUCGAUUGAACAAUUAGUUAGCAACAUGCUGUCGUGCUUUGUCUAUCCUUUGGUAUGAAGCUGAAAAUUGCAGUGUCUUUAUCCCUUUGAUUCACCCACUAAAUCAAUUGAAACGAACUACAAUUUGAUGAUUGAAUGCAUGGAAAAUGCAGUGGAGAGCCUUUUCUCGCUCUCAAAUCUAGCGAAUUGCGCUGGACCACCAGUCCCUCCGCACCACCAACGUUCCUCCGCUUUGCUAAAGAUUGAAUCCCCGUUGACCUGAAUUGGAGUGGCCUAUGCCAGCCUGGAGAUUGUUUCUUUGCUCAUUAGAGGCUGGCCAUUAUUGACCCUGCUUCUGGUGAUCAACCUCUCUGCAGUGGAGAAAUCAAUUUGUUGUCGCUGUAGGGUCGCGUCAUAUAUUUUUUAAUUUUGUGUGGUUUAAUUUAUUGAAUAUUUGAAAAUAAUUGAUAAAUUUUCAAUUUUUGAUUACUGAUACGAUGCGUAUGUUGAUUGGUGAUUUUGUUGGAUUCACUCAACUCAAAUAUAUGGUAACUGAAUUGCUACAUUUGAGAAUGUGAUUAUGUUCCUACCACCAUUUUGCCCACUUUCUGUGGAAAUUAUUCAAGCUCACAACAGAUGCAUUCAACCCCCGCAGCGAAGCGCGGGCACAUUUUCUAGUUCAGCCUAAAACACUUCUGUGGGUCCGGGGGCAUAUGGAAGAGUGGUCUAGAAGGAGUUUGGUACAAGGUUUGAUAUGUAAGGCGGUGGAUUGUCCUUGUGAAUAGAUAGUUUUUGUUUGACUUAAGUUCAUUAUAAAUUAAAAUACUUAUAUUCUCUUAAUUUAGCUUAAAAAUAAGUAACAUCAAUUGUGAAAAAAUAAACAUUUAAAAUCAAUUGAUCUGUUGUUUUGAUGCAGUUUGAAUUUUCAACAUUCUAAAGUAAGAGCACAAGUAAAUCCAAAGUGGUUGGACAUAUAAAUCCAAAGUGGUUGGACAUAUAUCAGAGUCAUUCUUCAACUACUACGGAUGGUAACGAUGAUGAAAGACAAGGCCACUAUUAAACUACCAAUCCUAAGAGCAUCCCCAGUGAGGGGUUUUAAUAUUUUAUAUGGGGCUGGAAAAGUGAUGGAUACAACCCAUUUUAUAGUUCCAAGAAAUUUUUGGGGUUGUAUAAAAGAAUCUCUCACAAUGAGGGGCUAUAUCUUUCGGGCUCUAUAUGGGCUAUAUAUAUUUAUUUAUGUAGUAAUUUGAUUAAGCAAUGAAUUUUUUUUUUUU